rnacentral:lncRNA from 10 species
CUGUAACCUCCACCACCCAGGAUCAAGUGAUUCUCCUGCCUCAGCCUCCCGAAUAGCUGGGACUACAGGCAUGUGCCACGUGCCCGGCUAAUUUUUUAUAUUUUUAGCAGAGAUGGGGUUUUACCAUGUUGGCCAGGCUGGUCUUGAACUCCUGACCUUGUGAUCCGCCUGCCUCGGCCUCCCAAAGUGCUGGGAUUAUAGGCGUGAGCCACAGUGCCCAGCCUACUCUUAAAGGACCACGUCUUAUCCUUUGUCUCCUGAAAGCAUAGCCCAGAACACAGGAGACUCUCCACCAGUAUUUGUGUACUGAAUAAAGGAAUGAAGGAAACCUUCAGGCCUUCCCUCCUCAGAAGAAUCCUAAAAGGAACUUGAUUCAGGGAAAGACUUCAACUCAAAGGGGCUGGUAGGCCAUUUUAAAUGGAACAGAUGGAAGGCCAUCUUCAAAGGUACUGCCUACCUGAACCUGCCUUGUCCCAAAGGACACACUUCAAUCUGGGGAGAGUUUAAAGUUGUAGACAUAUCCAUUUUCAUUUAAGGAAUAUGAAGAUCAGGGAGGCAAAAUAUAGAGAUAUAGAGAGGAAAAACUGAGAGAUGAUCAGAAAUUCAGACGCAUUCGGAAUGAGCACCCUUGACCAUACCAAGAACAAAGACUCUAUAAAAAUGUGAAGUCUUAUUAUUGUUCAUCCAUGUUCUACGUGGGAUCCACCCAAGACAUUGAAAACUGUACAGAACAGGGUGAAAUUGAAUCAGAUCAUUCUGUACUCCUAACAAGGUCCACCCCAUGAGAGACUUGCAGCAGAAUUAAUGACACUGUAUAUUUUCCUCUACUAACAACAACAAGAACAACAACAACAACAAUCUAGGAAAAUCAAAGGCAGCCCGACAUGGAAAAAAACACAAAAUGAAUAUUUGGAUUACAAAUAGUGUGAUGGGAAGAACACACUGCCAAAAGUCCACCUAGUAUGUUGAAAUUACUGUUUCUAGCACAUAUAAGAUUUGCUGCCAAUUUGUACUGACUUCUGAAAAAUACUUUAUCCAUUGUCUUCUUACAUCAGAAUCAACUCCCUAAAUUCUUCAGCACUGGCUUUGUAAACUGGUUUCUGGUCUUUGUUUCUGUCAACUUACCUAUAAAAGGAUACAAAAACUGAAGAACAGAGAGGAGCAGAUACCCUGGAAAGCCGAAAGUUUUAUUGACCAAAGACUGAGUCUCGGAAUGUUUUGAUUGUGGAGUUUAUAGAGUUCAGGCUGAAGUUUUAUAAAAAUAACUUGCAGCAGCAUGGAGGACUGAUGAGAAAGUAGACAGAUGCUGGAAGCAGGAAAACUGAACAGCAGGUCACUGGCCAAGGAGAAUCAAAGAGCUAGAUGCUGAGAAUAAUGCAGCCAUAACGUGAAAUCUUUUUGAGACCACUCACUCUGGGAGAAAGCAACUGGCUAUGUCAUGAGGAAAUUGAAACCACCUAUGGAGAAAGGCCCACAUGGUGAGAAAGUAAAGCCUCUUCCCAAUACCAAAAUUCUGUAAGUCUGCUACGGUGACAUUUCUGGUUAGGAGUCAGAGUGGAUGGGACACUGAGCAAUAAGAAUGCAGAGACAUGAUGGCUGAAGCUGGAGCUUUUCCCUGAAGCAACCACCUGUUGGAAACUUCAUGUUGAAGAUGACUGAAUAAUAAGACAGAGGGGUCUGGGUCCCUGGUGGAUAUUCCAGAUCUGGGUGUUCGUGGAGAUAUGAGAAAGCAAUAAACUUCAAUUUUGCUUAAAUAGCUGUUACUUGGGGCAUUCUGUCAUUUAUGGACA